GACGAACGCUGGCGGCGUGCCUAAUACAUGCAAGUCGAACGCAGUGGGGACGGGUGAGUAACACGUGGGUAACCUCCCAUCAGAGGGGAUAACACUUGGAAACAGGUGCUAAACCGAUACUGAUGGAUGGACCCGCGGUGGUUUUGGUAGUUGGUGAGGUAACGCCUCACCAAGGCAACGAUGCAUAGCCGACCGGAGGAGAAGUUCAGCCACAUGGGGACUGAGACACGGCCCAGACUCCUACAGUGGACAGCAGUAGUAAAUGUUCGGCAAUGGACGAAAGUCUAACCGAGCAACGCCACGUGAGUGAAGAAGGUCUUCGGAUCGUAAAACACUGUUGUUAGAGAAGCGGUAUCUAACCAGAAAGCCACGGCUAACUACGUGCCAGCAGCCACGGUAAUAC
rnacentral:rRNA from 1 species